GUGAUUAAAAGCGAAGAAAGGGAAAUAAUCCCGUCACAAUAAGACAGCCCAGAGUGGACUCGUCCUCUAAAGUAUCGAUUAGGGAAUGACCGGGCAACCACUGCCCUGGGCGCCAUCUUGUUGGGCAGGCGAGCGUGUUGGAGAGUCCACGCUACAGACAAUCUCUUCCCGGGGGCUGGAGGCACCUUUGGGAGAAGAAAGGCAGAUGAAAAAGAGAACAUGAUCUGAGCACUGAAAAGACGAGAGGCACACAAAAAAUGUGAACUGCUGAAUUUACUGUCUAGCUAUAAUGAGCACAGAGGGAAGAACCUUGGGCUUUGCAAGAGCAUGCACUGGGCACACUGGGAAGAGCCAAGGACAAAUAUAUUGAAUACA